UCUCUGCUAGAGAAAUUAUUGCUAGGAUCUGCUUGGAAAACUAUGUGAGCCCGCCACGUCAGCCCAACUCAAUCCAAUGGCUGUGAAGCUGACAACAGAUAUAGAUAAGGAAAAAGUCAUAAAUGACACUAACGUUGACGUUAGUUCUUACUUGCAGGUCUCUCGACUCCUCGCAUCUGCCUCUCUCUUUUCGCCCAAUUCCCUCCUUCCCCUCACCACCUAGUCGUGAAAAAUUUUAGAAUCAGUUAUUGUCUCAAUGACUCCUCAUUAGGAGGUGGCGAUUUAACUUUGAUCAUGGCUAUUGGCGAUGGAGAAAAUGACAUUGAGAUGCUUGAACUAGCUUCUUUGGGUGUUGCUUUUAGCAAUGGUUCAGAGAAAACAAAAGCUGUGGCUAAUUUAAUUGGUGCGAGUAACGACGACGAAGAUGGUGCAGCUGAUGCGAUCUACCGGUAUGCAUUUUGAGCUUCGAUUCAGACAGAAGAACUAGAAUAAGACAUAGCUUAAUAAUUAGGAUAAGGCAUGCUGCCUGCAAGAUUCUUUUAAGAUGAUUCGAUUGUUUCCGUCAAAAAUGACUGAAACUUCCAUUCUUUAUGCUCAACAAGAGAUUUCAAGUUCAAAGGCUUGCCAAAAUGGCCAUGUUAAUUACUUCAGAAUUGCUUUGUUAAGAGAUCUGUACGAGAAGGAAGAAUUUGUUUAGGAUGCUCAGAUGGUCAUGUCAAUUACCUUAUGUAUUCUAGGUAUAUAUGUUCAGCUAACACAUAAUUCAAUCAUUCUUGCUCUCUUGAUCCGAUUC